rnacentral:rRNA from 1 species
GAUGAACGCUGGCGGCGUGCCUAAUACAUGCAAGUCGAGCGAACGGACGAGAAGCUUGCUUCUCUGAUGUUAGCGGCGGACGGGUGAGUAACACGUGGAUAACCUACCUAUAAGACUGGGAUAACUUCGGGAAACCGGAGCUAAUACCGGAUGAUAUUUUGAACCGCAUGGUUCAAAAGUGAAAGACGGUCUUGCUGUCACUUAUAGAUGGAUCCGCGCUGCAUUAGCUAGUUGGUAAGGUAACGGCUUACCAAGGCAACGAUGCAUAGCCGACCUGAGAGGGUGAUCGGCCACACUGGAACUGAGACACGGUCCAGACUCCUACGGGAGGCAGCAGUAGGGUAUCUUCCGCAAUGGGCGAAAGCCUGACGGAGCAACGCCGCGUGAGUGAUGAAGGUCUUCGGAUCGUAAAACUCUGUUAUUAGGGAAGAACAUAUGUGUAAGUAACUGUGCACAUCUUGACGGUACCUAAUCAGAAAGCCACGGCUAACUACGUG